UACAGAGGCCCCAAGCGUUAGGCGGAAUCACUGGGCUUAAAGCGUGUGUAGGCGGACUUCUAAGUACCUUGUGAAAUCCCACGGCUUAACCGUGGAACUGCUCGGCAUACUGGCGGUCUUGAGCCAGCUAGGGGCUACCGGAACAAAUGGUGGAGCGGUGAAAUGCGUAGAUAUCAUUUGGAACGCCAAUGGUGAAAACAGGUAGCUGGGGCUGUGCUGACGCUGAGACACGAAAGCCAGGGGAGCGAACGGG
rnacentral:rRNA from 1 species